GUCAUAGAACAGCCAAGUGUUCAUAGCAACACCACUUUUUGACCCUUCGGUGUUGUCUCUUCCUAUCAUUGCGAAGCAGAAUCACCAAGUUUUGGAUUGGUCACCCACUAAUACAAAACAUGAGCUGGGAUUAGACCUCAUGAGACAGGUU
rnacentral:ncRNA from 1 species